AUGGAGUGCAACCUCCAUGCGGCGAGCCUCUGGGUUCCCAUGGAGGACGACCUGGUCGAGAGAAAGGAGGACAGAAAAGCGGUGGCGGCACUCAUGUGUGCCACGCCGCCGAAGAUGCACGGCAUGCUCGCGGCGAAGGCAAGCGCGAAGGAGGCGUGGGAAGCCAUCCGUACCCAGCGCCUCGGCAGCAACCGCGUGCGCGAGGCGAUCGCGCAGAAGCUGCGAGCGGACUUCGAGAACAUCGCCUUCAAGGAGGGAAAGCUCGUCGAUGACUUCGCCAUGCGGAUCUCCAGCCUUGCGUCGUAG
rnacentral:rRNA from 1 species